GAUGAAGAACGUAGCGAAAUGCGACAAGUAAUGUGAAUUGCAGAAUUCCGUGAAUCAUCGAAUCUUUGAACGCACAUUGCGCCCCCUGGUAUUCCGGGGGGCAUGCCUGUCCGAGCGUCAUUGCUGCCCUCAAGCCCGGCUUGUGUGUUGGGUCUCGUCCCCCUUCCCGGGGGGACGGGCCCGAAAGGCAGCGGCGGCACCGCGUCCGGUCCUCGAGCGUAUGGGGCUUUGUCACCCGCUCUGUAGGCCCGGCCGGCGCUUGCCGAUCAACCAAAACUUUUUUCCAGGUUGACCUCGGAUCAGGUAGGGAUACCCGCUGAACUUAAGCAUAUCAAUAAGCGGAGGA
rnacentral:misc_RNA from 1 species